rnacentral:rRNA from 1 species
AUUGAACGCUGGCGGCAGGCUUAACACAUGCAAGUCGAGCGAGCGGCGGACGGGUGAGUAAUGUCUGGGAAACUGCCUGAUGGAGGGGGAUAACUACUGGAAACGGUAGCUAAUACCGCAUACCAUCAGAUGUGCCCAGAUGGGAUUAGCUAGUAGGUGGGGUAAUGGCUCACCUAGGCGACGAUCCCUAGAUGGUCUGAGAGGAUGACCAGCAACACGGGAACUGAGACACGGUCCAGACUACGACGGGAGGAAGCAGGGGGGAAUAUUGCACAAUGGGCGAAAGCCUGAUGCAGCCAUGCCGCGUGGGUGAGGAAGGCAUUCGGGUUGUAAAGAACUUUCAGCGAGGAGGCGUGACGCGCAGAAGAAGAACCGGCUAACUCCGUGCCAGCCGCCGCGGUAAGAC